rnacentral:rRNA from 1 species
GACGAACGAGGGGGGGGGGAGGAACACAUGCAAGUCGAACGGAAAGGCCCUGCUUUUGUGGGGUGCUCGAGUGGCGAACGGGUGAGUAACACGUGAGUAACCUGCCCUUGACUUUGGGAUAACUUCAGGAAACUGGGGCUAAUACCGGAUAGGAGCUCCUGCUGCAUGGUGGGGGUUGGAAAGUUUCGGCGGUUGGGGAUGGACUCGCGGCUUAUCAGCUUGUUGGUGGGGUAGUGGCUUACCAAGGCUUUGACGGGUAGCCGGCCUGAGAGGGUGACCGGCCACAUUGGGACUGAGAUACGGCCCAGACUCCUACGGGAGGCAGCAGUGGGGAAUAUUGCACAAUGGGCGGAAGCCUGAUGCAGCAACGCCGCGUGCGGGAUGACGGCCUUCGGGUUGUAAACCGCUUUCGCCUGUGACGAAGCGUGAGUGACGGUAAUGGGUAAAGAAGCACCGGCUAACUACGUG